CCCUCAGAGUUGGGGAGCCGAGGCCCUGAAGGGUGGAGAGAGACAUGAGGGAGCAGCGCAGUAAGCAAUACCUUUGAAGCAGGUGACAAAGUUCUUCAUUUUGGAGUCAUCUAGGAAAAGCUGCAGAAGGGACACAGUGGACAGUGAGUCCUGGCAAGAAAGCCGGUGGUGUUCGUUGUCCUUGCUUUUCUGUGUAAUGUGUUCAGGGGGCGUGUGGAAGGGCCCUGCGGACUUUGCCCACGUCUACAGACAGGCUCCCAGUGCUGCAGCCCCCACCCCUUUCUCUACCGCAGGAUUGACAGCCGCCUGGCUCUAGCGAUCGCGAGCACUCGGUUCGGGGAUUGGUGCUAGCUCAGGCUGCUGUGGGCGCGACUACGAGACGGGGUCCGAGCCCUCUGCGACCUCGCCAAGACUACAGCCAAGUUACGCACUGCUCCGCAAGGCGGCCACAUCCUUCCACACCGGAAGCAGAUCACAUAGUGCAGUGCCUGGGGCUUCGGUUCCGCCGGCAACUCGUGCUCCGAGGGGCGGAGCUGUCUGUCCCGCCCCCGGAAGUAGCUACGCGAUGUGGAUUCUCCCGCCCCUUUGUCAGAAGUAACCUGAAGCACAGGCAGCGAGUGUGCACUUGAACUUUAUUCACACGGAGCACUGUCCCCUCGACCCACACGUCCGAGGGAGCGCCUGCGGCCGACAGGUCAAGGACCUGCCCCGAAGAGCUGCGGGCCUCCGCAUGGCGGGACUCUUGUUUUUAAUAAAUAAAAACUCUAAAAAUA